GCCGAAGGCAGAUGCUUAACCACUGUGCCACCCAGGCGCCCCUCGGUUGGACUUCUUUGACAUCUAAUUUUCAUAAAGGACAAGAAUUUUCACCUGUUUUGUUCACCACUGUAUUCCCAGUGCCUAGGACAGUGCCGCAGAGAGAUGAGGAAAAGGGCUGCCCACCAGGAAUCAUCCCGUGUGUGUCCUGAAAACUGAGGAGAAGGGCAAGAAAACGUUGGACCACUCCUACCGAUGCUAGAAAAGGAAGACCUUCCCCACCUGCAGGUGUGCGGGCUGCUGAAAGAAGUCAGGAAAUUCACCCCCAAGUGAGAGUUUGCAGAGAGAAGUGCCUCAAACUGGGGUUGAUGGUCACUAAGUUUGGGGGAGCCAAUAACUCUGCUUCCGUAAACUCCCAAUGAUCUGGAAAGCUUACCAAACUGCCAAAUCGGGGGGAACUAGGAGAGCGGUUUGGAUCUGUUUGGGGGCCUCAAAACCAAAUCAGAAACUCUAGGAGUGGGCCCUGUCGCCCUAUCUUUAAACUCCCAGGUGAGUCUGAGGCCUGCUGGAGCUUGAAAAUUCUGAUGGAAGGCAUGUCUGUUCAACUUUGAUUUGCAUCCCCCACCCCCAGCCUUUUCAAAGGCAAUAGGUGUGGGAUGGGAUCCCUGUUUCUGCAUUUGAUCUGGGGUCUUGGGCUACAAGCGAGUAUUUAAAGGUGAUGAGAAGAAUUAGAAUUUCUCUGGGGGAAAGCUCUCUUUAACCUAGGGACACCUGCCCUGAAGGCAUAGAGCCCUUGUUGGGAAGUGGGGGGGUGGAGCUGGAGAACGUAGAAAGAGCAGGGGCGCCUCUCUGGGCACUGAAGGUGUGCAGCACGGAGCGGGAAGCAGAGGGAGGCAGCUCGGGCAGGCGAAGGAAGCCAGCCGGUCAGCAUUAUAAAGCUUCGUUGGCCUCUGAAUCAGAAUGUCGCCUGCUGUCUGUUCAGCAAGGGAUAGGGACCCUUGCCUGUUUCCAGCUAACUACGGAGGCAAUCCUCGUCUGACUUCCAACUGCUGCCUGCACAGGUGCGGCGGGCGAGGAGAAUCGCGGUUGCUCAGAGCCGGUCGGGUCCUUGUGCCUGCUAGGCUCCUUGAUCCCGAAGUGCUUUCACUCUCAAGGAAUUCCUAUGAAAUCAUCUUGGACCAAAAAAAGCUAUGACCCAACUUUUUCAGCAGGCUGGGUUCAGAAUGCCUUUUAGUUAUUUCCAGAAAUCAAACUUGCUCUCCAAGGAGGAAGUGCUGCUGCCACGAGGCCCUUGGAACAUAUGAGACAUGUGUUCUUUGAAGGUGGUUCCAAGUUCCAAGCAGUAGGAGAUAUGCUGGGAGCCAGAGCCUUUCCGAUGGCUCCUGGGAAGGACUCGGCCAUCAUCUGGAGGUACAAGCUCCGCAGAUUGAACGUGAUUUUGUUCGGUAGCUGAUGGCCAUCUCUCACGUGCCCUGGUAGAAAUAAAUGGCCCCAAGGGCAUUUUUGGUGGGAGUGGAGGAGGAUGGGAGGGUACCGGGCAUCUCCCGAGGAGGUGAGGAGAACAGGGCCCCCGAGAAACUUGCCUCCUUCGCAGUUUUGUGGAAGGCCACCUUUUCAGCCUUGCGCAGAACCCCCCACCCCCGCCCCGGGUGGCAGGGAGAGGGAGAUACCACCAUGAUUCAGUGAGUCAGCUGCUCCCCACAGAGCAGGCAACCAGACUCCGUGAAAUGUUAAUUAUCUGUUAGAAAAAACAGUUUAUUUUACACAGUUUCAAAAACAAAAUUCCAAUUCCUGGGCAGACUUUGUUAUUUAACUCCCUCGGCCUCCACGUACACAUGCUCGAUAAAGGUACGUGAAAAAAACAUAAAGUGGUCUUGUCCAACAUGAUAACAUAUGUUCGUUACUCGAAACCCUAACACAUACACACAUGGUGGCUGAGUUACAGUCAGCAGUGCGCUAUAAAAUGGCAUUUCCUCCCCUCACUUUGGAUUGCCCUUGCCAUUCUAGAGAACAGCGUCAAUCUCCAACACGACAGCCAUCUACUCCAGCCCAGCAAUAUCACAUGGUUCACAGCGUUUCUUUGGGUAUUUUAUCAGCUCAGCCCCCAUUGUUUCUCCAGUGAUAAAUUACAUUUUAAUUAUUUCUUUAUUUUAUGGAGUGGAGAGUCAUAGUAAUUUCCGUGUCCCCAGUCCCAUUAACUUCCUGGUAGCAUUGUUUGAAGUCCCCAGACCCUGAUGUGGAAUCCAACUGUUUCCCUAAUAUGUGGGAAGCACACACGGCUUGUUUACGUCAAAAACAAUUCUGGCCAUGGUUUUCCUUUUUCACCCAGUCUUUUCCCAUGAAAAUUCUGGCAGGAGCCUGGGUUAGUAUUCCAGGGCAUGGGGUAAACCCGCUGUACGGUGGCAGUGGGUGAUGGAGUGAGGUCGUUAGGACUGAUCUGGAAUACAGCACUGAGCCCACCAAGUUAAGCUGAAGAACUGGGAAGUGACAUCACAGCAGGAUGAUGUCGGUGUUCGCAUCUUGUUGGGUUCCUCAGUGUCUGUACCUCGUUUGGUUCCUACUUUCCUUGAGUUUCUUUUCAGGUUUCUGUCUGUCCAUCUCAGAAUUCCUCCACCUGGCCCCUGCCCUACUCUCAACCCAAAAGGCAAGGGCAUGGAUUGUCUUUCCAGAGGCAAGCCGCUCAGCCUGUGCCCAAAUCCCCUCCCUCCCGUGGCCUGCCUCAACUCACCACUGCGUUAUACCUUCCCUUCCUCUUUGGAGCUCCUUCUUUUGUCUGUCAAUGAUGAAUUAAUCUGCACAUGAAGGAUUCACUCAGAUCUAUGUUUUCAUAUACAAAACACCCCAUCUCUGACCCUUGAAACGCAGCUCCAUCACUCUUUGUGAUUUCACUGUGAAACGUCUCCUUUUCGGAAAAGUCACAUUUUGGAAAAUGUGUGCAUUUUGGUCUUUGUUCUUCUGCCUCCUGAUUCCUCUUCAAACUUACACCACGAGUCUCAUUUGGCCCCCAACCUCCUCCAUAAAUGUUCAUUGCUAAGAUUUUUGGCUUAUUAAUGAGCAGGCAGCCGUGUGGAGGUGGAAAGAAGCAGAGAAAAACUGGGGGAGGGAAACCGGUUAGUGGCAAUCAUAAGCCUAAGGAAGCCGGAGGCCGUGAAGAGCUGCAUUGGGGUUGUGGCAGGUGUCAGAAUAGGAGAGCGCUGGUGUGGAAAACACUGUGGGCAGCCCAUCUACGGAGCUCGCGGCUGAUGGGCCUGGUGUAUUUCAAGCCUGAGUGCUGGAAAAAAGAUGCUGGAGUUACAAAUACAGGGACCACAGGAGGAGAACCGUGAGGGCGGGUGGGGUGCAGUGGAUGAGGAGAUUACUUUUAGACACGUUGAAUUUGUGGGGCCAGUCAGCUGAUGGGGGAUGAACCUCAGAAAUGUGACUGUAAGGCUGGAGAAAGAGAGAGGCGAUAAAGAUACAGACGUUCAGGUCAACUGCAGUCAGAAGGGAGUCUAAACUGGGGCCGUGUGAGCUUCCUGAAGAAGAAUGCACAGACAAUGGAGCAAGGAGGACAUAGGACAGAGCUUUAGAGAAAUUCUGCAUCUCAGGGACAGGUAGACAGGCCCUGAAUGAGGACAAGAAGGAGAGAUGCAGAACCCUAGAAACCAGGACUAGUUCCCAAAUGGGAGUGCUGUCAGCAGAGUCAGAGGAUGUGGAGGGAGAAGGCAAAGCAGGGAUGUGAGGAGCCCCUGACCAAGCACCUGCUGGGCACUGAGCACUGUUUCAGGAACUAGACUGGGGAUUCCCUAAUGGACAGCAGACCCUGUCCUUGCCCUUCAGGGAACAUUCAUUCUAAUGACACUGGCAGCAAAUCAACACAGAAUUACAGUUAGUCUGCUGAGUGCUGUAACAAGGGGUGGGUAGGGCUGCCCUUGUCUCCAAUAUUGGGGAGAUGGAUAUGGAGACCUGUCAACCCUCCCCUGACACGUGAGGGCUCUGGGAUCGGCUGCCGGAAUCUCUGUUAUGGUUUAGCCACUUAGCAUCUGGGAAAUCCCUACUCAAAGUAUUUUUUUUUCUUUUUUUCCUUUUUAGAGAGAGCAUUUGCAAGCAUGGGUGGGGAAGGGCAGAGGCAGAGGGAGAGAGACUCUCCAGCAGGCUUCACACCCAGCAGGGAGCCCUACACGGGGCUCGAUCCCACGAACCUGAGAUCAUGACCUGAGCUGAAAUCAAGACUCAAAUGCUUAACUGACUGAGCCACUGAGGUGCCCCAUGGGUAACUCCUACUCUUGACUUCAAUUUCCUCAUUGAUGGUAAAAUACAAGAAUAGUAACUGUUCUGCUUUACAGGCCUAUGGAUGGGGAUUAAAUAUGUUAAAACAUGUCAUGCACUGAGGCGGUGACUGACACGUGAGGAGCCCUCGAUGAAAAGCCUCCACACUUCUAUGGGACUUACUCUGUGCCAGAUGCUGCUUUACCCCUCACAGCAGCCUCAUGAAACAGGUCGUAUCCGGGCGCCUGGGGGGCUCAGUCAGUUAAGCAUCCGGCUCUUGGUUUCAGCUCAGGUCAUGAUCUCAGGGUCGUGGGAUUGAGCCCCAUGUCAGGCUCCACACACGGCAGGGAGUCCGCUUGAGAUUCUCUCUCUCUCCCUCUGUCCCUCCCCCUGCCUGCUCACUCUCUCUCUCUCUCAAAUAAGUAAAUUAGUAUUCUCAUUUGCAUUUUUACAGUAAGGACGCUGUAGGAUAGUGGGGCAGAGCUAAAAGUGUUUGUUUUCGUUUGUCUCCUCUCUACUCUGUUGGUGAUGGAGGGAUUUCCACCCUCCAGUCAUGGCCAUGGCCCAGCCCAUGACACUUGAUGCUGGACAGAUGGGACGCACAGGAGUUUUGUCACUUACUCUCACAGCUCUGGUUUAGAGGACAUGGCUUGCUUGGCAGGACCCCGCGGGGGUUUGUGGACAGAGUGAACCUGGUGGUUCUGUAGUAACAAGAGGGUGGGGUGCCCCCUGGUUCCUGUGGGAGGAUGUGGCCGGCUUGUUUGGAUCAUUCCGUGGGCUGGCAGGGAACUGAAACCCACUGCCCAGGGGCGAGCAGGCACUGUGCCUGUUCUCCGUGAUAAGAAGUGAUGUUUGGCUGGGGACCUUAUCUGCAGGAGCAACACGGGGAAGAGAAUGUGUGGGUAAGGCCCUCUGAAGCCCUCCCGAUUUUAUCAGAUGUCAAGGUAGCACUUAAUACUGAACCCCAGUUUCUGGCCUUAUGGCACAGCAAUUUGGAGGGAAUUCGGACCCAGGCAGUGUGGAUCUAGGAUCACGCUCGGACAUACUGUUCCACCUCACUCCAACGUAAGCAGGAUGGUUGUUCCCUGACCAUCUCUACAUUGUUCUAUACCCCCAUCUUUGCCUGGAUUUUCCUCUUGAUUCCAGAUGCUGCCUGUGGAAAUCCUGUCUGUUCACCAAAACUGUCAAAUUCCAGUUACUCUGUGAAGUUUUGUGUCUCAUCCAGAUGUAGCCCCUGCUUCUUUUCCAGGUAGCACUGUGUAGUGGGAAGGGCAUGGUGUUUGAAACCAGAAAAUCAUGGCUUGGUUUCUGGCUUUCCUAUUUAUUUGCUACCUAAUCUGGGGAAAUAUAUUAGACUGAAUUAGCCCAUUUCUCAAGUGCGGGUAAUAAUACCUCUUUGAAAUGAUACUGUAAGAUUAUCCAUGAAAAUAGAUGCAGAGCACUCAGUAUUUAGAAAGCACACAAUAAAUAUGAAUUUUGUUCUCUUGAAUUAUUUUGUAUUUCUACUGAUGCCUAUUUUAUUGGGCCUCAUUCUCCAAUUAUUUGUGUAUUUGUUUUGCUCACCCCCUACUAGACUAUUAACUUGGAGACAGCUGGUAUUCCUUGUCCAGUUUGUUCAUUGCUCACCGUCACUUUCCACAUGCUGGAUAUUUUUAUCAACACUGGAAGGAACUCUGCGUAUGCUGCUCUAUAAAUCAGCAGGGCCGUCUAGGACAAUACUUUGAUGUGCCUUUAAUGCAACACAGUUGCGUUAACUGCUAAUAAAGCCUUUUAUUCCUAAAGUAAACAUACUUGGGAGAGAGCACAAUGAUGUCAAUUUAUAUUAUAUAAGUCUAUAUUCAGUGAAAGUGAUACAUACAAUCCCAACGUUAGGUUUAACAGGGGUACCGUUUUCAAAACCCAAAGAGGGACAGAAUGUCAAGGAAGAGGAAAAACAGGUGUCCAAAGAUGAGCCUUGGAGCUUCUCAGGCAAAUUUUGCUUUUUUAUAAUUUUUAGUACAUAGAUUUGGAAAUGGGGAGAAAACGGAUCUCAAACGUAUUUGCGCUAUUGUGUAAAAAACAAAAAUGAAAUUGCCAUGGGAAAGGAAUGUUUGCAUUUUCUAAGCCUUUGGAAAAGAAUCGUGCCUCCUUGUCUAUUCCUUGUUAAUGUACUUGAUAGAAAACUAGAUGUAUCUAUUGGUAAAGAGAAUGGAAGACAGGAAGUCAUUGGUUUAUUAUUUGUUUUUCUCACUCAUCCCAUAUAAAUUGUCUUGGUGUAAGGCAUCUUACUUCUGGUUUUUGUUUUUGUUUUUUUUCUUUCAGGUUUGUGUGUUUGUUUUGUAAUGAUUACAAUGAGAGGGAUAGCAUUAGCCUAUGUCACAAAGGGUCUAAGAAGCUUGACACAAGUGAGCACAUGGUUUUGAGGUCCCCAAAUGCUUGUUUCCAAAUAAGCACAAAGUAAGAAGGAAAUAUAUUUCUGUGAUUCUA